AAGAGAGAGUGAGAGCUUUGCUUUGUCUUGCCUAUUGUUCUGGCUUGCUAGCCUGCCUUGCUUGCCAGUGCCACCCAGUCUGCCUGUGCCAGCCUGGGGUGGAUUCUCUGCUGCAUUAAUUGCUUUUUUGUAGAGAAAAAGAGAAUCCUAGAGAAGAAAAGAUAAUUCCAUCUGAUUCUUUUUUUCACCCCUGCCUGCCUGUGCCAGUCCCCAGCCCCAGAGUGCCUGUGGCCACUGGCCACCUGGCGGCCACUGGCCACCUCUUCCCCCCAGAUUUUCCAGGCUUUUGUCCCAGCCCCCGCACCUCCCCAUCUGAAGAAUGAAGAAGAAAGAGUAGAGACCAGUCCACAGAAGUGGAAUACUGGACGCAACGUGGGUAAAGCCUUAGGCUCAGCUGAAGAAAGUGAAGGAGUGUUGCCACAGAAGCUGUUGCUGCUCUAAUGGCUGAUGGCAAUUCGGACCAAGAAGAAUUACUGAUGAAAUAUGAUGACUGAUACAUGAAAAAAAUGAUACAUACCAACUCUAAUCCGGUGUACCCAGAGACAUUUGGGCGUGUUUAAAGUGCCUUUAGACAUUCUUUGGGUGUGUUUAAAAUACAUACCAUUACAGUAAGAGUUGUUCUACACGUUAUAUAGAAUUAAGAAGUAGAAUUCUAGACUAUGUAACUUCUUUUUUACUCCUCCCCCCCCUUUUUUUUACUUCCUUGUAUAACUAAUAAAACUAGUAUAUCAGGGAAAGAGCUAUGUCAAACUCCCCCCCCGAUGUGCUAGUUUACUACAUUGUUGCUUUUUUUGGUUUUUAAUUAUGGGGAGCAUUAAAAUAUAUCUAUCUAUCUA